rnacentral:sRNA from 1 species
CUGUUAGUCAGCAGAGGCAGUACACCAGAUUUCCUUGUGGCUUUUAGUGGAAAAUGUUAAAAGCUCACUCAUUUUUCAGUUAUAGAAUUUUUUAGUUUGAUUUGGAUUAGUCACAGAACUGGCAUGAACCUUCUAAUUGUGAAGGCUGUCCAAAUGCACUAUUUUUUUCUCCUGCUAGAGGAAGUUACAUCCCGAGAAGUAGCUCAGAUCUCUGCCAUCACUGGUGCAAGCUAUAUUUAACGGAGAUCCUGAUGAAGUUCGAGCACUAAUAUUUAAGAAAGAAGAUGUUAACUUUCAGGACAAUGAAAAGCGAACCCCAUUGCACGCCGCAGCUUAUCUUGGAGAUGCAGAAAUCAUUGAACUUCUUAUUUUAUCUGGAGCUAGAGUUAAUGCCAAAGACAGCAAAUGGUUGACACCUUUACACAGAGCAGUUGCAUCUUGUAGUGAGGAAGCAGUUCAGGUACUUUUGAAGCAUUCUGCAGAUGUUAAUGCUCGAGACAAAAAUUGGCAAACCCCUUUACAUAUAGCUGCUGCUAAUAAAGCUGUAAAGUGUGCUGAAGCUUUGGUACCUCUUCUGAGUAAUGUAAACGUAUCUGAUCGAGCAGGGAGGACUGCAUUACAUCAUGCAGCUUUCAGUGGACAUGGUGAGAUGGUCAAACUACUCUUGUCUAGAGGUGCCAAUAUUAAUGCUUUUGACAAGAAAGAUAGGCGUGCUAUCCAUUGGGCAGCAUAUAUGGGUCACAUUGAAGUAGUGAAAUUGCUUGUGUCGCAUGGAGCUGAAGUGACAUGCAAGGAUAAAAAGUCUUAUACACCUCUUCAUGCAGCAGCCUCUAGUGGAAUGAUCAGCGUAGUCAAGUACCUUCUAGAUCUUGGAGUUGAUAUGAAUGAAACAAAUGCCUAUGGAAAUACACCUCUUCAUGUAGCCUGCUAUAAUGGACAAGAUGUUGUAGUGAAUGAACUUAUAGACUGUGGUGCUAUUGUAAAUCAAAAGAAUGAAAAAGGAUUUACUCCUUUGCACUUUGCUGCUGCAUCAACACAUGGAGCAUUGUGUUUAGAGCUUCUAGUUGGCAAUGGGGCCGAUGUCAAUAUGAAGAGUAAAGAUGGGAAAACCCCACUACACAUGACUGCUCUCCACGGUAGAUUCUCCCGAUCACAAACCAUUAUCCAGAGUGGAGCUGUAAUCGACUGUGAGGAUAAGAAUGGAAAUACCCCUUUGCACAUAGCAGCACGGUAUGGCCAUGAGCUGCUGAUCAACACUCUUAUUACAAGUGGUGCUGACACUGCAAAGCGUGGCAUACAUGGAAUGUUCCCCCUCCAUUUGGCAGCCUUAAGCGGCUUUUCAGAUUGCUGCAGAAAACUUCUUUCUUCAGGAUUUGAUAUAGAUACCCCAGAUGAUUUUGGCAGGACUUGUCUACAUGCAGCUGCAGCUGGAGGGAAUUUGGAGUGCCUAAACCUUCUGCUGAAUACUGGUGCAGACUUUAAUAAAAAGGACAAAUUUGGGAGAUCUCCACUGCACUACGCUGCUGCCAACUGCAAUUACCAGUGCCUGUUUGCUCUUGUGGGAUCAGGAGCAAGUGUGAAUGACCUUGAUGAAAGAGGCUGCACACCCCUGCACUAUGCAGCUACAUCAGACACAGAUGGCAAGUGCCUGGAAUACUUAUUAAGAAACGAUGCAAAUCCAGGGAUCCGUGAUAAGCAAGGAUACAAUGCAGUUCAUUAUUCAGCUGCUUAUGGUCACCGUCUAUGUCUUCAGCUGAUUGCAAGUGAAACUCCUCUAGAUGUUUUAAUGGAAACCUCAGGAACAGACAUGCUGAGUGAUUCAGAUAAUAGAGCAACAAUAAGCCCUUUACACUUGGCUGCCUAUCAUGGUCACCAUCAAGCACUGGAAGUGUUGGUACAGUCUUUGUUAGAUCUUGAUGUCAGAAAUAGUAGUGGAAGAACACCCCUAGAUCUUGCAGCUUUUAAGGGCCAUGUUGAAUGUGUGGAUGUACUCAUUAAUCAGGGAGCCUCAAUCUUAGUAAAAGAUUACAUUUUGAAGAGGACACCUAUACAUGCAGCAGCAACAAAUGGUCAUUCAGAAUGCUUACGGCUAUUAAUAGGAAAUGCAGAACCACAGAAUGCAGUGGAUAUUCAAGAUGGAAAUGGACAGACGCCUCUGAUGCUAUCUGUUCUCAACGGGCACACAGACUGUGUUUACUCAUUGCUGAACAAAGGAGCAAAUGUAGAUGCCAAAGAUAAGUGGGGAAGGACAGCGUUGCAUAGAGGGGCAGUUACAGGCCAUGAAGAAUGUGUAGAUGCAUUACUUCAACAUGGUGCUAAGUGCUUACUUCGGGAUAGCAGGGGCCGGACGCCUAUACACCUGUCUGCUGCCUGUGGACACAUUGGUGUUCUCGGAGCCCUUUUGCAGUCAGCAGCAUCUAUGGAUGCAAAUCCAGCCACAGCAGACAAUCAUGGAUAUACAGCACUUCACUGGGCUUGCUACAAUGGUCACGAGACAUGUGUAGAACUGCUUUUAGAACAGGAAGUUUUCCAGAAAACGGAAGGAAAUGCUUUUAGUCCAUUGCAUUGUGCCGUGAUAAAUGACAACGAAGGUGCUGCUGAGAUGUUAAUUGAUACAUUAGGUGCCAGCAUUGUGAACGCCACAGAUUCAAAAGGAAGAACUCCUCUCCAUGCAGCCGCCUUCACAGACCAUGUAGAGUGUUUACAGCUGCUGCUCAGCCAUAAUGCUCAAGUCAAUUCUGUGGACUCUACAGGGAAAACACCUCUUAUGAUGGCUGCAGAAAAUGGACAAACAAAUACAGUUGAGAUGCUGGUUAGCAGUGCUAGUGCAGAACUGACUUUACAAGAUAACAGUAAAAAUACUGCCCUCCAUUUGGCUUGUAGCAAGGGUCAUGAAACUAGUGCCUUGUUAAUACUGGAAAAGAUAACAGAUAGAAACCUCAUCAAUGCAACCAACGCAGCCUUGCAAACACCUCUGCAUGUUGCUGCCCGAAAUGGGCUAACAAUGGUGGUUCAGGAACUUUUGGGAAAAGGAGCAAGUGUGCUUGCAGUAGAUGAAAAUGGCUAUACCCCAGCUUUGGCCUGUGCUCCCAAUAAGGAUGUGGCUGAUUGCCUGGCUCUCAUUUUGGCCACCAUGAUGCCUGUCUCAUCAAGUAGUCCUUUAUCAUCCUUAACAUUCAAUGCCAUUAACCGUUAUACCAACACCUCAAAAACAGUCAGCUUUGAAGCUUUGCCCAUCAUGAGGAAUGAACCUAGCUCCUAUUGCAGUUUCAAUAACAUUGGAGGGGAACAGGAGUACUUAUACACUGACGUGGAUGAGCUCAACGACUCCGAUUCUGAGACCUACUGAGAGGCUGAGGAGGAGGGAGUUCUCACAGUAAAGCUUCAAACUGUGCUUUUUCAGGAAAAAGGCACUUCGAUAUUCACGUAGAAAUUCAACCUAAGAGGAAAGAUCGCACAGUGAGCCAAUGUUAAGAGAUCUGAUGACAUUAGGAGGAAGAGUUUUAAAG